AACGAACGCUGGCGGCAGGCUUAACACAUGCAAGUCGAGCGCCCCGCAAGGGGAGCGGCAGACGGGUGAGUAACGCGUGGGAACAUACCCUUUCCUGCGGAAUAGCUCUGGGAAACUGGAAUUAAUACCGCAUACGCCCUACGGGGGAAAGAUUUAUCGGGGAAGGAUUGGCCCGCGUUGGAUUAGCUAGUUGGUGGGGUAAAGGCCUACCAAGGCGACGAUCCAUAGCUGGUCUGAGAGGAUGAUCAGCCACAUUGGGACUGAGACACGGCCCAAACUCCUACGGGAGGCAGCAGUGGGGAAUAUUGGACAAUGGGCGCAAGCCUGAUCCAGCCAUGCCGCGUGAGUGAUGAAGGCCUUAGGGUUGUAAAGCUCUUUCACCGGAGAAGAUAAUGACGGUAUCCGGAGAAGAAGCCCCGGCUAACUUCGUGCCAGCAGCCGCCGUAAAAC
rnacentral:rRNA from 1 species